CCCCCAUUAAUCUCCAAACCCUAAAAACGAAUUUCUUCACUCAAAGAACUUGAUUUCUUCUUUCUAACAAGUCCGGAUGCGAUUCAUUCCGCUAAGAAUAUGAUUUUACAUCCUACUCGCAAGAUCUACGCGAUUUCUACGUUGUGUUCUUCGUUGGAGGCUUGUGGAUUAAAUUAAAUUCGGUCCAGCCCCUUGAACCUUGGGUUAAUACAUUAUUUAUCUUAUUGUUCAUCAUCCUUAGACACGUCGACUGCUCGUGCUUCGGAGUCGAAACAGGUUUAGUUGCUUGCCAGGUUUUUCACGUGGAUUUGCAAGCAGUUUAUGAUUUGAAAGCUGGUCCACUCCGAUUCUUUUGAUUCCUCGGAGGUUUUUAUGUUAUUUAAACUAGUUUCUGUUUUCAAACUCUUAGACCGCAGUAGAACUAGUUAUUUAUUUCAUUUGAUACUACACUUUGGGAUUGUCGAUAUAUUCGAUUAUUAUAUUUGACAUGAUUACUCUGGAUUAC